rnacentral:tRNA from 1 species
GGUCUUGUAGUACAAUGGAUAGUACGUGGGUCUCCGGAACCUAAGAUCCCAGUUCGAUUCUGGGCAAGACCACCA